rnacentral:rRNA from 1 species
ACGAACGCUGGCGGCGUGCCUAAUACAUGCAAGUAGAACGCUGAAGAGAGGAGCUUGCUCUUCUUGGAUGAGUUGCGAACGGGUGAGUAACGCGUAGGUAACCUGCCUUGUAGCGGGGGAUAACUAUUGGAAACGAUAGCUAAUACCGCAUAACAAUGGAUGACACAUGUCAUUUAUUUGAAAGGGGCAAUUGCUCCACUACAAGAUGGACCUGCGUUGUAUUAGCUAGUAGGUGAGGUAAUGGCUCACCUAGGCGACGAUACAUAGCCGACCUGAGAGGGUGAUCGGCCACACUGGGACUGAGACACGGCCCAGACUCCUACGGGAGGCAGCAGUAGGGAAUCUUCGGCAAUGGACGGAAGUCUGACCGAGCAACGCCGCGUGAGUGAAGAAGGUU